GCUUCCACCAAGCGCUCUCGGGGAUGCGGGGGUGUUGUCAGCGCCCUGGCCCCAGCCCGCACCCCGAAGUGGCUCCAAGGCCGCAGGUGUGAGGGGCGUGCCCAGGGCUCGGCCCGCGCCGCCCCAUGUGACCCUGUCCGACAUGGUGUCGCCUCCUCCCGGGGCGGCGGCGGUGGCGGCUCGGGCUGGGCUCUGCGUCGGGCCGGCCCCGCGGCCGCUCAUGGGCAGCCAGGGCCGCUCGGGGCCCCCCGGGAACGGCGGGCCCGGCGAGGGCGAGGGCGAGGGCGGAGAGGCGAGGAAGCUGCAGGAAGGGAGGGUGGCGAGGGGGAAGCGAAGGAAGGGGAAGGGGAAGGGAAAAGCGAGAGCGGGGCAAGGCGGAAGAGGAAGCGGGACGGAAGGGAAGCCCGGGCCGCAGACGGCGAAGGAGGCAGCGGGGCCGGAGGCUGACGCGGGAGCGAGGGCAUGCCCAAGGGAGGAAGCAGAGGGAGGCGGAAGCGUGGAGGAAGGGGCGAGAGGCAUCGUCAAGGGAGUCGAGGGGAGCGCAGGGGCCGGGAAGGAGGCACAAGGAAGAGAGUAUGGGAAGAAGGAGGAAUGGAGGGUCAGGGCUAGGCGGCGGGAGGGCGCCAGGCCGGGAAGAGCACAGGGACGAGGGGGUCAGGCUUGGGCCGACAUCGCGGGGACACGGGUGGCCAUGGCGGCGGCGGCCGGGGAGGAGGAGGAGGAGGCGGCUGCCCGCCCGGCCGCGGGGCCUGCGCUCUGGCGCCUUCCGGAGGAGCUGCUGCUGCUCAUCUGCUCCUACCUGGACAUGCGGGCCCUCGGCCGCCUGGCCCAGGUGUGCCGCUGGCUGCGGCGCUUCACCAGCUGCGACCUGCUCUGGCGCCGGAUAGCCCGGGCCUCGCUCAACUCCGGCUUCACGCGGCUCGGCACCGACCUGAUGACCAGUGUCCCAGUGAAGGAACGGGUGAAGGUGUCUCAGAACUGGAGACUGGGGCGCUGCCGAGAGGGGAUUCUGCUGAAAUGGAGAUGCAGUCAGAUGCCCUGGAUGCAGCUAGAGGAUGAUUCUCUGUACAUAUCCCAGGCUAAUUUCAUCCUGGCCUACCAGUUCCGUCCAGAUGGUGCCAGCUUGAACCGUCGGCCUCUGGGAGUCUUUGCUGGGCAUGAUGAGGACGUUUGCCACUUUGUGCUGGCCAACUCGCAUAUUGUCAGUGCAGGAGGAGAUGGGAAGAUUGGCGUUCAUAAGAUUCACAGCACCUUCACUGUCAAGUACUCGGCUCAUGAACAGGAGGUGAACUGUGUGGAUUGCAAAGGGGGCAUCAUUGUGAGUGGCUCCAGGGACAGGACGGCCAAGGUGUGGCCUUUGGCCUCAGGCCGGCUGGGGCAGUGCUUACACACCAUCCAGACUGAAGACCGAGUCUGGUCCAUUGCUAUCAGCCCAUUACUCAGACCUUUAUGGAUUUUCAUACAGUUUAAAAAUGUUUAUCUCCUUAUUCCAUCUGGGAUUGAUAUCUGCUGGGAGCUCUUUUGUGACAGGGACGGCUUGUUGCGGGCACUUCUCACCCCUGAGAAUCUGGGACCUCAACAGUGGACAGCUGAUGACACACUUGGGCAGUGACUUUCCCCCAGGGGCUGGGGUGCUGGAUGUCAUGUAUGAGUCCCCUUUCACACUGCUGUCCUGUGGCUAUGACACCUACGUUCGCUACUGGGACCUCCGCACCAGUGUCCGGAAAUGUGUCAUGGAGUGGGAGGAGCCCCACGACAGCACCCUGUACUGCCUGCAGACAGAUGGCAACCACCUGCUGGCCACAGGUUCCUCCUACUACGGUGUUGUACGCCUGUGGGACCGGCGCCAAAGGGCCUGCCUGCACGCCUUCCCGCUGACGUCGACCCCCCUCAGCAGCCCUGUGUACUGCCUGCGUCUCACCACCAAGCAUCUCUAUGCUGCGCUGUCUUACAACCUCCACGUCCUGGAUUUUCAAAACCCAUGACCAUCAGGGCCACCCGUGCCUCUGGGCCAGGGAAACCAACUACUCAGGGACCUCUCUUGCCUGGAGGGUGCAGUGAUAGCUCCUCCUCACUGCCCCACUGUGCUCCUGGGCCUGUGACCCCAGUGCUCAGGCACCUUGCACUAGAGGCUUCUGACUCCUGGGGCUCUGGAACUUACCAGAGAUGCAGUCCCUCCCAGGAACCUGUUGGAGAGGCAGGACCUGCUGCUUUAGAGUGCAGCUGAACCUGGGCCUUGCGUCCCUGUUUGGCCAGAGCAAGGACUUGGCCUGGAGAGGCCCAUCCUAUACCCCUUAUUAGAGCCACGACAGCCUACAGAGUGAGGUGAGGUGCUCCCACCUUCCCAGAUGGUUCCUUUCUGCCCCUUCCUGGAAGGAAAGGUGAGGCUGCCAAUAGCCUGCUGGCACCAGCAAGACCUCACCCUUGACCAACCUCUCGGGGCUGGGGGUUCAUUCCUGGGGCACUGUGGCCUGGUUUUGCUUUGAAACCAAGAAAGAGCAAAGGGAACCCAGCAGUUGAGUGAGUUCUGAGCCAGCCCUACCUCAGGCUGGCUGUUGAGACAUGCUACAAUUUUCAUUUUUGUAAAAAUACAGCUUGAUUGUUCACAGA